CUGGAAGUUCGCCGCCGCUCCAUGCAACCCAAAUGGCAUGACCGUGAACUGGUACAAACCUCCGGGAGCCCUGAAAGCGGAACGAGUACCACAGGACUACACCAGUCACUCACUGAAGGUUCGAUGAUGCCUAAAUCUUUCAUCUGUUCCAGCUCCUCUCGGAAAACCUCUUGUAGGCGUGCAGGAAUUCUACAGUAGGAUGUUCUCACAGGACCUGGGGAUAUGUUCCAAUGAUGGUCCCACUUGGACUUCUCUGCAAGAUGGCAAGUACUGCUCCUCCGAUUCCUCUUCUUCUGGAACGCUACGAAUGAAUAGCUGACUUGAAGGGUUAGUAU